GUAACUCAAAUUUGUAUGGAGUUGCAACGUUUGCUUACGUUUGCCGCUAGGGGCGCUGUUCUAACUUCAAACAAAUUUGAGUUA
rnacentral:pre_miRNA from 1 species